UACGUAGGGGGCGAGCGUUUGUCCCGGGUAUUUGAUUGGGCGUAAAGAGCUCGUGAGGCGGCUUAGUAAGUCGGGGUGUGAAACCUCCAGGCUCAACCUGGAGACGCCACCCGAUACUGCUGUGGCUAGAGUCCGGUAGGGGAGCGUGGAAUUCCUGGUGUAGCGGUGAAAUGCGUAGAUAUCGGGAGGAACACCUGUGGCGAAAGCGGCGCACUGGACCACAACUGACGCUGAGGCACGAAAGCGUGGGGAGCAAACAGG
rnacentral:rRNA from 1 species